UUGUUCUACAAAUAUCAUUUAUCUUAAUCUUUAGCACAAGUGGUUCGAGAUUAGUACAUAACAGCAACAAUGUCGAAUCUCUCAUCAUCAUCCUAGUUGUAUUGAAGAGAAACGCCGUGAACGCAUCCGGAGUUUAUGGUCGGACGCCAGAAACAGUGGCAGGUUGAUUAUCAAGUAUGGAACACGGUUCAUACUCGGAUUUGAGUAAAUCAACGUUUUCUCUUAUGGAUCACACUUUUGCUAAUUCUGUCAGAUUCACCUUGAAUCAAGAUCCAAGAGUGACAUUUUGUGGUUACAGCAUUCCUCAUCCUUCAGAAAAUCGUGUUAAUGACAACUGGUAUGUGCUAACAUAUAAGCCGUCUCACGGUAGAUAUUAUGUGACUGUAAUUGACAACUGGGUUGGCCGGCAGCUGCUAUUGACUACUAUGCAAAUUACUUUUUAAUGAAAAUGUUAUAGGGCAAUAGUAGAGCUUCCUCGACAACAAGGGAUCCAGCAUCUGAGGUGUUAAAAGAUGGCUGUCAGGAUCUGAUGCUUAUGUGCCAGCAUGUUAGGAGCACUUUUGAGAAGGCAGUUAAUGAUUUUAAAACCAGCAAGACUGAGGAUGAUAUGGAUAUAUGAACUAGUGUAGCAAGUUAUAGUUUUGAUUUUGUACUGGUUAUGUUAUUUGAACAUUAAAAUAUAGACAUUAUGUUAGUCUUUUUUUCAUUAAAUACAUGUAAACUAGCGGUUGGUAUGCAUGGUGAAUUAGUUAGUGAAUGCAUUGUGAAAGUCUUCUUUUUCAAAUUCUAUGGUUUAUGAAAUCAGUCUCUUGUCCAAA